AUCCGGGUUGCGGACAGUGUCUGGUGGGUAGUUUGACUGGGGCGGUCUCCUCCUAAAGAGUAACGGAGGAGCACGAAGGUUGGCUAAUCCUGGUCGGACAUCAGGAGGUUAGUGCAAUGGCAUAAGCCAGCUUGACUGCGAGCGUGACGGCGCGAGCAGGUGCGAAAGCAGGUCAUAGUGAUCCGGUGGUUCUGAAUGGAAGGGCCAUCGCUCAACGGAUAAAAGGUACUCCGGGGAUAACAGGCUGAUACCGCCCAAGAGUUCAUAUCGACGGCGGUGUUUGGCACCUCGAUGUCGGCUCAUCACAUCCUGGGGCUGAAGUAGGUCCCAAGGGUAUGGCUGUUCGCCAUUUAAAGUGGUACGCGAGCUGGGUUUAGAACGUCGUGAGACAGUUCGGUCCCUAUCUGCCGUGGGCGCUGGAGAACUGAGGGGGGCUGCUCCUAGUACGAGAGGACCGGAGUGGACGCAUCACUGGUGUUCGGGUUGUCAUGCCAAUGGCACUGCCCGGUAGCUAAAUGCGGAAGAGAUAAGUGCUGAAAGC
rnacentral:rRNA from 1 species